UACGAAGGGGGCUAGCGUUGCUCGGAAUUACUGGGCGUAAAGCGCACGUAGGCGGAUUUGUAAGUCAGGGGUGAAAUCCCGGGGCUCAACCCCGGAACUGCCUUUGAUACUGCAAAUCUCGAGUCCGGAAGAGGUGAGUGGAAUUCCUAGUGUAGAGGUGAAAUUCGUAGAUAUUCGGAGGAACACCAGUGGCGAAGGCGGCUCACUGGUCCGGUACUGACGCUGAGGUGCGAAAGCGUGGGGAGCAAACAGG
rnacentral:rRNA from 1 species